rnacentral:rRNA from 1 species
UACGGAGGAUGCGAGCGUUAUCCGGAUUUAUUGGGUUUAAAGGGUGCGUAGGCGGCUUUUUAAGUCAGCGGUGAAAUUUUGCAGCUUAACUGUAACAGUGCCGUUGAUACUGGGGAGCUAGGAUUUGGUUGCUGUGGGUAGAAUGUGUGGUGUAGCGGUGAAAUGCUUAGAGAUCACACAGAAUAUCGAUUGCGAAGGCAGCUCACAAAGCCAAGAUUGACGCUGAGGCACGAAAGUGUGGGGAUCAAACAGGAUUA